rnacentral:rRNA from 1 species
CCUACGGGAGGCAGCAGUGGGGGAUAUUGGACAAUGGGGGAAACCCUGAUCCAGCGACGCCGCGUGAGUGAAGAAGUAUUUCGGUAUGUAAAGCUCUAUCAGCAGGGAAGAAAGAAAUGACGGUACCUGAGUAAGAAGCCCCGGCUAACUACGUGCCAGCAGCCGCGGGAAUACGUAGGGGGCAAGCGUUAUCCGGAAUUACUGGGUGUAAAGGGAGCGUAGACGGUAAUGCAAGUCUGGAGUGAAAGGCGGGGGCCCAACCCCCGGACUGCUCUGGAAACUGUGUAACUGGAGUGCAGGAGAGGCAGGCGGAAUGCCUAGUGUAGCGGUGAAAUGCGUAGAUAUUAGGAGGAACACCAGUGGCGAAGGCGGCCUGCUGGACUGUAACUGACGUUGAGGCUCGAAAGCGUGGGGAGCAAACAGGAUUAGAUACCCCAGUAGUC